AACCUCUGCCCCCAGCCACAGGAGAGGGGCUCCUCGCUGCUGAGAGGUCACUGCCCCAUUGCCCCUCAGUCCCUGCUUUCCCUACAGAAAACCAGUGGACACUGGGUGUGGGCCCUGGCACCUAGCCCACCCUUUUACAGUGGCUCAUUUGUGUCUUCUGACAGAGUGACAAGGACUUCCCCCCAGCGGCUGCACAGGUGGCUCACCAGAAGCCUCAAGCCUCCAUAGACAAGCACUCUUCCCCCAGUACCCAGCACACCCAGCAGCCUCACAAGUGAAGGAGCACCUGCACCCCAACACCCCAGCAGUCCUGGCUUCACUUCCCUGUGAUGUCCCCCAUGGUGACCCAGCACCUUCUCCAAGAGCUGCUCAAUCUGGUAAAUCUAAGACAAAGCCAAGCACCUCUUCCUUUGUCUUAAAUUUCCAUAUUUAAAAUUAGAAACAUUCAAACCCCAAAUGUGUCCUGGAGUCUUGGCGGGAUGUCAUUGAAAGAUCCUCGCACCCUCCCUCAGAAUUGCCAUUAGCAGAAUUUGCUGAGACCCAAGUAAAAUGAAGUCCUUCACACUUUAGCCUAAUUCUGUCUCCACAAUGUUCUGAAGUCCUGCCUGUGGUCCUGAGAACAAGAGGGCACAGUGUGGCAAGAUUCAAUAAGGUUAAGGAAAAGUGCAACCAUUUCAUGCCUUUUAGUAAAAACAUAACAGUCUGCAUGGCCAUGGGAGUGUAUGACAUAGGGCAGAUCUCAGGGAGGGUCUUUGAGCAGUCACUUUACACUGAAUCCCCUCCCUGGGCAACAGGGGGUCUCAGUACCAGGUAACCAAGCAUCACAGGACACAAAGGAAAGUGGUCGGCUCUGAAAAGGCUCUUUCUUUCCAGAGGCCAUUGUGCUGAGGACGUGGGCAGGGGGAUCCCAGGAGCACUUGCUGAGUGAGAUCAGCAUCAUCUCAGUCCAGGAUCUGGGAAGAAGGAGACAGACCUCAAGGUUCAGCAGUCACCUCUAGGGCUGCUCUAGCUUUCUGGAGAUGACCACUGCCCAGGGUGGAGGAGGACACAGCUAUCUCUGGGGUGCUUCACACAAGAGUUGAAAGCAUGAGAGAUGGGGUCGAGGCCUGCCCUUUGCCUCCCCAGGGAUCACCAUGUCUCCCAAAGCAUGGUCUGACUCCCCGUGACCAGAAUCCCUCCUACCCAGGCACACAUCCACCCGCACCCACCCUCACUUGGGCAUGUCAGAUUGUGCAGUUUCUACAUGUGUCUCCUGCCUUGAGAUGCCCUAGAUUAGUCCUUGUCUUGAGGCUAUAGUGUGCUCUGCUUUUCCAAAAAAGCAGACAAAUUAGAAGUUUCUGGAGCACUGCUCAGGAGAGGGUGUGCCUGACCAUCCCAUCCACCAACAGUGGAGUCUGCUGCAGGUCCAGGUGGCACUGUGGGCAUCAUUCAUAUGACCAGCCUUUCUGGUACCUUCUCCAGGCUUGUGUUCCAGGUGGCAAAAUUAAGGCAAGCUGAUCAGGGUCAGCUUGUCCUCUUCCCUGAGGGAGAAGCCCAGCACCACAUUGAUGGGCAGCAUUGGUUUCCUGGGAUGCCAGGGCAUAACCCUCAAGGCCCACGUUUCAUAUUUCUUAAUCACUGAAAUGUAGGUAUGAACAGAGUGUAUCUCUGGAGACCCAGACUAGGCUGGCAGUACUGCCAUGGAACACACCACAGGAGUAGCCUGCCCCUGUUUUGUUGAAAGGACCUCCUGCUGCCAGAGGCAUGCCAGUUUUUCCAGAGGUACAUUCUGUAAACUUCAAGCUAGAUUGCACACGUGACUGUGGACUCUAGAUCCCUGAAAGCAAGUGCUUUUCUGAAUGAGUUUAUCAAUCGCCUACUGCAAGAAUAAUAGAGAUUCUAAUAAACUCCUGCAUCAAUUCUCA
rnacentral:lncRNA from 1 species